rnacentral:pre_miRNA from 1 species
UUUGUACUCCCUCCGUCCCAAAAUUCUUGUCUUAAAUUUGUCUAAAUACGGAUGUAUCUAGUUACAUUUUAGUGUUAGAUACAUCUAUAUCUAAACAAAUGUAAGACAAGAAUUUUGGGACGGAGGGAAUACUAC